rnacentral:rRNA from 1 species
UACGAAGGGUGCAAGCGUUACUCGGAAUCACUGGGCGUAAAGCGUGCGUAGGCGGUUUCUUAAGUCUGUCGUGAAAGCCCUGGGCUCAACCUGGGAAUGGCGAUGGAUACUGGGAGGCUAGAGUGUGAUAGAGGAUGGUGGAAUUCCCGGUGUAGCGGUGAAAUGCGUAGAGAUCGGGAGGAACACCAGUGGCGAAGGCGGCCUCUGGAUCAACACUGACGCUGAGGCACGAAAGCGUGGGGAGCAAACAGGG